GGAGAUAUAGCUCAGUGGUUAGAGCGCCGUGUUCACAGCGUUUCAACAAUGUUACCCGCGGAAGUCAUGGGUUCGAACCCCAUUAUCUCCU
rfam:Wallemia ichthyophaga EXF-994 unplaced genomic scaffold scaffold20, whole genome shotgun sequence.